AGAAGCUAAAUGACUAUGGAAGACAUCAGUGUCAGGAUUAUCAGACAAAUGACUAAACAUGGCUAUGGUAAAGGAGAUGUGUAGUCUACCUCUGGGAGAAUGCUAAUGUGCUUCAGAAAUCAGAAGGUGCUCAAAUUUGAAGGGAGGGAAAGAUUUCUGUUUCUUCUUGGCUGACUGUCCUUCAUCUGGCUUGAAGUUGCCUGGUUAUGUAAUAAAAAGAAAUCCCUCAGUUAUCAUGUGAGUAGGUGGUAUCUCCACUGACACCACUGAAGUUCUACUGAUUUCAGCAGAGCUACUCUAGAUUUACCUCAGUGUAAAUGGGAGGAGAAAUGGGCCCAAAUGCUUCAGAAAACACCAGGGUGUCCCUGGAGCUGCACUAGCUGCAGCUCCCUGCACCUCUCACAGGGAACAGAAUUCUGAAGCUUGCAACACAGACUGGAAAGGCAGCUCAAGUCCUUUUAGACAAUGAACAACAGUGGAGGGGACUGUAUCCACGAAAUGAGUCAGGAGGGGCAGUUUUGCCACCAGAGAAGAAUUCCUCUUCACCAGCUGUGAUAUCAUUUAAUAAUGACAGCUCUCCGGUUUGUAAGUGCAGCAUGUGUCUUCAAUGCCUUAUUUGCAACUGUUUUUUGAGAUAAUGAUUUAG
rnacentral:lncRNA from 1 species